rnacentral:misc_RNA from 1 species
CAGAGUUGCAAAACUCCCACAAACCAUCGCGAAUCUUACCCGUACGGUUGCCUCGGCGCUGGCGGUCCGGAAGGCCCUCGGGCCCCCCGGAUCCUCGGGUCUCCCGCUCGCGGGAGGCUGCCCGCCGGAGUGCCGAAACCAAACUCUUGAUAUUUUAUGUCUCUCUGAGCAAACUUUUAAAUAAGUCA